UGAGAAUGGGCAUAGCUGAGCUCCUCUCAUCAUAGCGAUGGAAUGAAGGCCUGCCAACUGAAGUUUGUGCUGCUGAUGCAGUUCCUGAAUUAUCUGGCAAGAACCUAGUGAACUCAUCUAGCAAAUCUGGAUGGUCACUAAAAAGUACGGCAACCUCACGGUACACUUCAUCGAUUCCCUUGUGCUCCUUCCUAUACAUGUUCAAAAUAUCUAGGAAGGAUUUGUAAACGUGAUCAUCAUUUUGGAAACGGGUCUUUAUUUUGUUCACAAAGCUAAUAGCUUCUUCAA
rnacentral:misc_RNA from 1 species